CUACGGGCUGCACCAGUGGGGAAUAUUGCACAAUGGGGGAAACCCUGAUGCAGCAACGCCGCGUGGAGGAUGACACAUUUCGGUGCGUAAACUCCUUUUAUAUUUGAAGAUAAUGACGGUAAAAUAUGAAUAAGCUCCGGCUAACUCCGUGCCAGCAGCCGCGGUAAUACGGGGGGAGCAAGCGUUACUCGGAAUUACUGGGCGUAAAGCGCAUGUAGGCGGGUCAUUAAGUUGGAAGUGAAAUCCUAUGGCUCAACCAUAGAACUGCUUCCAAAACUGGUGACCUAGAAUGUGGGAGAGGUAGAUGGAAUUUCUGGUGUAGGGGUAAAAUCCGUAGAGAUCAGAAGGAAUACCGAUUGCGAAGGCGAUCUACUGGAACACUAUUGACGCUGAGAUGCAAAAGCGUGGGGAGCAAACAGGAUUAGAUACCCGGGUAGUC
rnacentral:rRNA from 1 species